ACUCCUACGGGAGGCAGCAGUAGGGAAUCUUCCACAAUGGGCGCAAGCCUGAUGGAGCAACACCGCGUGAGUGAAGAAGGGUUUCGGCUCGUAAAGUUCUGUUGUUAAAGAAGAACACGUAUGAGAGUAACUGUUCAUACGUUGACGGUAUUUAACCAGAAAGUCACGGCUAACUACGUGCCAGCAGCCGCGGUAAUACGUAGGUGGCAAGCGUUAUCCGGAUUUAUUGGGGCGUAAAGAGAGUGCAGGCGGUUUUCUAAGUCUGAUGUGAAAGCCUUCGGCUUAACCGGAGAAGUGCAUCGGAAACUGGAUAACUUGAGUGCAGAAGAGGGUAGUGGAACUCCAUGUGUAGCGGUGGAAUGCGUAGAUAUAUGGAAGAACACCAGUGGCGAAGGCGGCUACCUGGUCUGCAACUGACGCUGAGACUCGAAAGCAUGGGUAGCGAACAGGAUUAGAUACCCUGGUAGGAUAGCG
rnacentral:rRNA from 1 species